rnacentral:misc_RNA from 1 species
UUGGAAACAUUAACUACUACCACAAGGUUUUCCGCAGUGGAAAAUGGGCAGUGACAUACGAGGUAUGCGUUCCACAAAUCCUUGGAGAAUGCAGUAAUUAGUCAUUUUGUGCUUGCUUAUUGUGCUUGUUUUAAAUCUCUACCCUCAGUUGGUGUUGGAUGUAGGAAGAAAAGUGAUAUUUUUCUUUUUUUCCCAUUCAUCUCAAUGUUGCAGUUUAGUUCCUUAUCUU